rnacentral:rRNA from 1 species
GACGAGCGCUGGCGGCGUGCUUAACACAUGCAAGUCGAACGGUAAGGCCCUUCGGGGUACACGAGUGGCGAACGGGUGAGUAACACGUGGGUGAUCUGCCCUGCACUUCGGGAUAAGCCUGGGAAACUGGGUCUAAUACCGGAUAGGACUCCGGACUGCAUGGUCUGGGGUGGAAAGCUUUUGCGGUGUGGGAUGGGCCCGCGGCCUAUCAGCUUGUUGGUGGGGUGAUGGCCUACCAAGGCGACGACGGGUAGCCGGCCUGAGAGGGUGACCGGCCACACUGGGACUGAGAUACGGCCCAGACUCCUACGGGAGGCAGCAGUGGGGAAUAUUGCACAAUGGGCGCAAGCCUGAUGCAGCGACGCCGCGUGAGGGAUAACGGCCUUCGGGUUGUAAACCUCUUUCAGCAUCGACGAAGCGAAAGUGACGGUAGGUGCAGAAGAAGGACCGGCCAACUACGUGCCAGCCGCCGCGGUAA